rnacentral:rRNA from 1 species
CGGCGGACGGGUGAGUAACACGUGGAUAACCUACCUAUAAGACUGGGAUAACUUCGGGAAACCGGGGCUAAUACCGGAUAACACAUGAAACCGCAUGGUUUCAUGAUGAAAGACGGUUUUGCUGUCACUUAUAGAUGGAUCCGCGCCGCAUUAGCUAGUUGGUAAGGUAACGGCUUACAAGGCAACGAUGCGUAGCCGACCUGAGAGGGUGAUCGGCCACACUGGAACUGAGACACGGUCCAG